CCAUAUCUCUAGUCUAAUAUGGUAUCCGAGCUUAUUGGUUAGUUGCUCUUGUUCCCUCAAUCCCGUUUGUCUCCAUCCACAACCACACGAGUGCAAAGCCUCACAUUCAUGUCAACAACAACUCUCAUGUCAUUAGCAAAUCUAGUGUCUAGCAUCAACACCUAGGUAGCACUUAUUGGUUAAAAAGGGCAUUUGCUAGGAAAAAUGAGCAACCACUAGUCCACUACACGUUUGGAUGCUUGACAAUAUGUGCGCUUUGGUGCUUGCAAUAAUAAUGUUGUGAUGGAAGGUUUGUCACUAAAUAUUGGUUAGCAAAGUUGCAGUAUGGGGAAGACCAAUAAGCUCUGAUACCAUGUUAGAUUAGUGAUAUGCCU
rnacentral:pre_miRNA from 1 species